ACAUGAAAAGUUUAACUCUCUAACUGCUCUCUCAUUUAAUGUAAAAGAGUCACCUUAUUUUCAUAAUCACCCUGUUUAUGGACUAAGUUUGUAUCCCUCCAGAGCUCAUGCCCUUGAAGGCCUGCCUCCCCACAUCAUGGUGUUGGAUGGGGAUGAAGCCUUUGGGAUACAAUGCUGUUUAGAUGAGGUCAUGAUGCCGUUGGGGUUCUGAUAAAAUGAAGACGCCAAAGAGCUUUCUCUACUUGAAGGUUGGGACACAGCCAAAUGGUGGCUCUCCUGAAGCCAGGAUGAAGGUCAGGACCAGAAAACUCGUCUGUAGUCACGUAAUCCCCAGUGUUCCCAGCUUCAGGACCCAGAAGACCAAACACUCCCUCGGUCACCCAGUCUGACAUUGUGUCACAUCCUACAGCCUGAGCAGACCUAACACACCGAGGAAGGAAGUUGUGCGAAAGCUACACGGAUCUCAUACAAACUACAUGUUGAGCUUUGAUCAUCUCCGAGCCUGACCCCAAUGACAAGUGAUCUUUCCUAAUGCUGGGUAGCAGGGGCCCAAGCUACAGCCAUAGCACACAAGCUGCAGCCAUAGCUCAGCCCCAGGAUCCCAAGAGGGGAAAACCAAAUGUUCACCCGUGUUCCACGGCACCUAGCCUGGACACUGGGUCAGCGAAGUGUAUUAAAUGCAUCUUUUGACUUCAUGCUAUUUUCAACUUAUGGUGGAAGUUCUGCUAGAUCUCCGCUCUACAGGAGAGGAAAGGAAGACUUAAGGAAUUUUGGUGUCUUGGCUAUUGUUUCAAUUACUGGGAUAGAACACUGUGACCAAAGUCACCUGGGGAGGAAGAUCUUAGCAAGGCAUCACGUACAUAUUUUUCAAGUUCUCUUAUCAAGUAUCCCUUGGAUAAGGAAGAACACAUGCAUCUAGGAGGGCAGGACUUGUUAAGCAAACCAUGGUGCCUCUAUACCAUGGACAACUACGUAGUGGUUAAUCACAGGCUGUGAUCACAUUGUCUGAGCCUGGCCCUCAGACUAUGCUGGAGAAAUAGGAGAAAGCAGAUGAGUGAGUAACAGUUAGCUUGUCCACUGAAAAUACUGAGAAACAAACAACCCAGGGACCAUGAGCACUAAGCAUUUGCUACUAAGAAGAAUUGGGGGUCCUUAGCGACAUGGCUUCUUCCAGAUCCAGGACAGACCACAGAAGCUUGGAGUUUCCUUGCUAUUUGGAUGACAGCAAAGAUUGAUGCGGUUAUAUCAGAAGGAAUCAACUGGCUAAACAUGGUUAAAAACUCAUGCGUCAAUAAAAAAAAAUCAGUAAAAUAGAUCAUAAAAC
rnacentral:lncRNA from 1 species